rnacentral:rRNA from 1 species
GAUGAACGCUGACAGAAUGCUUAACACAUGCCAGUCGACUUGAAUUUGGGUUUUUAACUUAGGUUUGGGUGGCGGACGGGUGAGUAACGCGUAAAGAACUUGCCUCACAGCUAGGGACAACAUUUGGAAACGAAUGCUAUUACCUAAUAUUAUGAUAAUAGGGCAUCCUAUAAUUAUGAAAGCUAUAAGCGCUGUGAGAGAGCUUUGCGUCCCAUUAGCUAGUUGGAGAGGUAACGGCUCACCAAGGCGAUGAUGGGUAGCCGGCCUGAGAGGGUGAUCGGCCACAAGGGGACGGAGACACGGCCCUUACAGCUACGGGAGGCAGGAGUGGGGAAUAUUGGACGAUGGACCGAGAGUAUGAUGCAGCAAUUCUGUGUGCACGAUGAAGUUUUUCGGAAUGUAAAGUGCUUUCAGUUGGGAAGAAACAAAUGACGGUACCAACAGAAGAAGUGACGGCUAAAUACGUG